rnacentral:lncRNA from 1 species
UGACGGAGUCUCACUCUAUCGUGGAGGCUGGAGUGCAGUGGAGCAAUCUCAGCUCACUACAACCUCUGCCUCCUGGAUUCAAGAAAUUCUCCUGCCUCAGCCUCCCGAGUAGCUGGGAUUACAGGUGCCUGUCACCACGCCCGGCUAAUUUUUGUAUUUUUAGUAGAGAUGGGGUUACACCAUGUUGGCCAGGCUGGUCUCGAACUCCUGAUCUCAGGUGAUCCACCCGCCUCAGCUUCCCAAAGUGCUGGGAUUAUAGGUGUGAGCCACCGUGCCCGGCCUUUUACAUGCUUUUAACUCAUUUGAUCCUCACAACAAACUCUGUGAGGUGGGUUCUUAUUUUUCCUACUUUAUAAAUGUGAUAACUGAGGCGUACAGAAGUUAAGUAAUUUGCCAAAUCCUAGAGGCUUCCAGAGCUCUCUGUCUUAAUCACUAAGGCUAUGCUGUAGGGUCUGGAGGGUGAAAGCAGUACCCAGCUUCAGGACUGCAACAGUGUUGCAGAGGAUCCAGUCU